CACCUCCGCAGGCUGCGGGCCCCGGGGUGGGCUGGGCGAGUAUCUCUUCCAAAGGCUCACCCUCAAGCGACUAGGAGC
rnacentral:pre_miRNA from 1 species